GCCGCGUGAGGUGAUGAAGGCCUUAUGGUUGUAAAGCUCUUUUACCCGGGAAGAUAAUGACUGUACCGGGAGAAUAAGCUCCGGCUAACUCCAUGCCAGCAGCCGCGGUAAUACGGAGGGAGCUAGCGUUGUUCGGAAUUACUGGGCGUAAAGCGCACGUAGGCGGCUUUGUAAGUGAGAGGUGAAAGCCUGGGGCUCAACUCCAGAAUUGCCUUUAAAACUGCAUCGCUGGAAUCGAGGAGAGGCGGGUGGAAUUCCCAGUGUAGAGGUGAAAUUCGUAGAGUUUCGGAAAAACGCCAAUGGCGAAGGCGGCCCGCUGGACGUGUAUGGACGCUAAUGUGCAAAAGCGUGGGGUGCAAACAGGAUUAGAUACCCUGGUAGUCCACGCCAUACACGAUGAUAACUAGCUGUCCGGGAACUUGGCGCUUGGGUGGCGCAACUCACGGAGUAAGUUAUCCGCCUGGGGAGUACGGCCGCAAGGUUAAAACUCACAGAAAUUGACGGCGGCCUGCACAAGCGGUGGAGCAUGUGGUUUAAUUCAACGCGACGCGCAGAACCUUACCAACGUUUGACAUGUCUAGUAUGAUUUUCAGCAGAUGAAUCUCUUCAGAUCGGC
rnacentral:rRNA from 1 species